CCGGGCCUCCUCCUGCUGUAAUCAGAGCCCAAACCCCACAUCCAGGGGCUCCCCAGAGGGAUUGUGCGUGGCGGGAGCUCCCUCCUGGGGCCCUGGGGCCUGGCUCCUGUGAUGGUCUCCUGGCCUACAACCCGGGAGUCGGAUCACGCUGCCCACGCUCGUCGGUGCCAGGGUUGGGGGAGGGAAGGUACAGACAGGGUGGAUGGGACCCGGCAGUGCACUCAGUCAGACGGCCCGGGAAGAGCAUCGGGGUCUCGGGCAGCUCCUCCAAGGCCCCAAACUGUCUAGGUUCAUCCGAGCCUUUGGCUGUCAGGACAGGAAAAUGCAAUUUAUCAUCGGAGUGGAUAAAGAGCCACUCUUCUGAAAGGAGCCGGAGACCGGCCACCUUCCUGGUCGCUGCCACCGCCAGAGUCGGUGCUUGGUGGCAGGAGGGUGGGCACAGGCGCCAGGCUAGAGGGAGCAGCGGAAGAAGAGGGGGACUUUUCCACGGCCGGAAGGGGUGCCAAGCCUUGAAAUGACCAGAGGGACUGAAGCUAACACUGCACUUCCCAUGUGGGUGACACAGGGGCUGCAAACUCAACCCCUCAGAGGCGCCAGCUCCCGAGACAGCCCCCACCCUCCGCAGGCCUGGCUGGUGGAAUGCCAAAAAGAAAGGUCAGGUGAUGGCCAGGGCGUCGCUGAUGGACAGAUUCCAGUGUCAAUCUCAGGAGCCCCAGGCUGAGACCUGCCCUACCUCCAAGGCCCCCUCC
rnacentral:lncRNA from 1 species